rnacentral:misc_RNA from 1 species
GUGAAUCAUCGAAUUUUUGAACGCAAAUUGCGCCUUUUUCGGAAGGGGUGUCUGUGUGAGGGCGACAUUUAACAAAUAAUGUGCAUUUUGUGUGCACACGUUGAUGGGCUUUCCAAACUUAUGUAUUAUUGUUGUUGGCGCAUAAUAAACAGCACGAUGCUUUUUUUCCGUUCGGGUGUAGUAAAAUUUUUUCUUGCUUGUGUUGUGAAAAGCGUGAUCGCUCA